rnacentral:rRNA from 1 species
GUCCACGCCGUAAACGAUGGGCACUAGGUGUGGGAGGUGUCGACUCCUCCUGUGCCGAAGCUAACGCAUUAAGUGCCCCGCCUGGGGAGUACGGCCGCAAGGCUAAAACUCAAAGGAAUUGACGGGGACCCCGCACAAGCAGCGGAGCAUGUGGUUCAAUUCGACGCAACGCGAAGAACCUUACCUGGGCUUGACAUGUAGGUGACAGCCGUGGAAACACGGUCUCCCUUCGGGGCACCUUCACAGGUGGUGCAUGGCUGUCGU